rnacentral:rRNA from 1 species
AGUGAACGCUGGCGGCAGGCCUAACACAUGCAAGUCGAACGGCAGCACAGCAGUAGCAAUACUGUGGGUGGCGAGUGGCGGACGGGUGAGGAAUACAUCGGAAUCUGCCUAGUCGUGGGGGAUAACGUAGGGAAACUUACGCUAAUACCGCAUACGACCUACGGGUGAAAGCGGGGGAUCGCAAGACCUCGCGCGAUUAGAUGAGCCGAUGUCCGAUUAGCUAGUUGGCAGGGUAAUGGCCCACCAAGGCGACGAUCGGUAGCUGGUCUGAGAGGAUGAUCAGCCACACUGGAACUGAGACACAGUCCAGACUCCUACGGGAGGCAGCAGUGGGGAAUAUUGGACAAUGGGCGCAAGCCUGAUCCAGCCAUGCCGCGUGGGUGAAGAAGGCCUUCGGGUUGUAAAGCCCUUUUGUCCGGAAAGAAAAGCACUGGAUUAAUACUUCGGUGUUCUGACGGUACCGGAAGAAUAAGCACCGGCUAACUUCGUGCCAGCCGCCGCAGUAAAAC